rnacentral:misc_RNA from 1 species
GGGCCUUGAAGAUCAAGAACCAGGUAUAUCAAAACAAGACGCAUUACCUGCAACUAAAAGAUUAACAGAGAACUAUUAAUGAUGGCAAUCCAGGACCUUCUUGCUGUCACUUAAAGCCUGGAGAAUCAUGUCGAACUAUAAAAGGAGAUAUACCAGCCCAUAUUCAGCAAGAACAAAUCAACCUCAGAAGUAUUUCAUUCUGGCACAAACAGGCAGCAUUAUUUUUGCUUUUGAAUAUGUAGAGUUAUUAGAUAAAAUGAAAUUGACUGUUCCAACUUUCAUAUCAUUAAUUUUCAGGGAAUAUAAAUCCAGGAAAUAAGAAAAUUCAAAGUAUUUACAUCCUAACUGAGCCUGACAAGUCAAGCACUGAAUCAAAUGUGAGCUUAUGCAACAAUCAGACAAUCUGGAAGAGGCAGAGAACUAAAUAUCAAAGUUAGCAAAACACUGAAUCAUCUAAAGGGCACAAGGAUUAGGGAUCAAAACAUUCAAGUGGACUUCCUUAUAGCUGAAAGUGAAUAUCAAGCUCCAAAUAUCACGAGACAUUCUGUCUGUUCAACAAGAAGUUACCUUAGGUUGUUACAAUCAAGAUAAUUAUAUUUACAAGGAAAUAGGACCAAAUGAAUUGUAUCAUUCAACACUCAAUUGGAUAAGCCUUCGGUACAUGGCAAAUGCCUAUUCUUGAGGGUCUGGUGAAAGAGAAAAUAAAUAGCAUGAAGAGAAAUCAUAACCUAAGGUGGCUUGUGAAAACAGUAGGUUGGUCUUUAACUAAAUAUUUUAUACGGAAAUAAAUAUGCUGAUUCUCUUCAAGUGGUGUAAUGUUUCAAAACAUACCCCAUCUCAAGAUGAAAAAGGAAAUUUUAUUAUUAAUAAGAAAACUGAGAAUUAAACAAGAAAAAUUCAGAUCAAGGGCUCACAGAUAAAGCUUUAGGUUUAGAAACACUUUUACUGAUCGAAAACUUUUUUUUUU